UGUAACAUCGUGGCCCCUUCAGACAGUUUUACAACAAACUGAAUCAUCUUUUUUUUUCACUGUAAACCUCUUGUCUUAAUCCUGUUGUUUUUUAUAUUUCAGCUACUGCAAGAAGACAGAAGAGUUCAAGAAAGCAGAGACUAAUAAGCCUGUUCUCAGCAAAGUUAAGACGCCUGACCCCAAGAAAAGAAAAGCUGAAUUUUUGUCAAUACAUGUGCAUCCUAAUGGAGAAGCCCUGGUGCCUCCGGUGCACAUCAAGAUGCCCAAAUAUGCAAC